GCCUACGGGGCGCAGCAGUGAGGAAUAUUGGUCAAUGGUCGGGAGACUGAACCAGCCAAGCCGCGUGAGGGAUGAAGGUACAGAGUAUCGUAAACCUCUUUUGUCAGGGAACAAAGGCGGGGACGUGUCCCCGGAUGAGUGUACCUGAAGAAAAAGCAUCGGCUAACUCCGUGCCAGCAGCCGCGGUAAUACGGAGGAUGCGAGCGUUAUCCGGACUUAUUGGGUUUAAAGGGUGCGCAGGCGGUCUGUUAAGUCAGCGGUCAAAGCCCGGGGCUCAACCCCGGCCCGCCGUUGCAACUGGCAGU
rnacentral:rRNA from 1 species